UGGGGAAUAUUGCGCAAUGGAGGGAACUCUGAUGCAGCGACGCCGCGUGAGUGAUGAAGGAAUUCGUUUCGUAAAACUCUGUUCUAUGGGAAGAAAAGGACUGUACCAUAGGAGAAAGCUCCGGCUAAAUACGUGCCAGCAGCCGCGGUAAUACGUAUGGAGCGAGCGUUGUCCGGUAUUAUUGGGCGUAAAGGGUGCGCAGGCGGCUUUACAAGUUGGAUGUGAAAUAUUGUGGCUCAACCACAAACGUGCAUCCAAAACUGCAAAGCUUGAGUUAAGGAGAGGUAAGUGGAAUUCCUGGUGUAGCGGUGGAAUGCGUAGAUAUCAGGAGGAAUACCGGUGGCGAAGGCGACUUACUGGACUUAAACUGACGCUCAGGCACGAAAGCGUGGGGAGCAAACAGG
rnacentral:rRNA from 1 species